CUUGGCCUCCCAAAGUGCUGGGAUUACAGGUGUGAGCCACCACACUCGGCCACUAUCUUUUAAAAAUUUAUUUACACAAAGGGAAUGCUACUAAGUACACCAUACUGCGCCUCUCAUUAAAAAUUAUUUUUAACAAUUUUAAGCGGAAGGGUGGGACACUGAGCAUAUAUUAGAAACACACACUCACGCCUCUGUAGCAUUUAGCAUCAUAGAGCACCAGAGAAUCUUGUAUGUUUUUCCUUCAGUGGCUUAUGCAGUGCUUUAUGGUUUUCCUGGUUCUCCGGCCAGUUUCUUCACUGGGCUCUCCUUUUCUACGUGAGUGCAGAUAUAAGCCAGGAAUUCCGACGUGUGUAAAUUCUGAUAGCGAUACACUGGGGAUACAACAAUGAACAUGUUUCAUUCCACACGUGUUCAUCAAAUAUCUACUCCAUCACAGUCGUCUGUCUAAACAGGAUGGUUCCUGCCCUCAUAAAGUAGAGCAAGUAGCUCCUGAAGGCAUUUGAGUAUAUGAUCCCGUCUCAUUCUGUGCAUUGUGGUCUGCUCAAGCUUCCUAAAGCAACGCAUCUUGCCCCUGCUCAAUUAUCAUUGGCUCCUCUUGCCUGCCAUAGAACUUAAGCAAGUAUUCGAAAGCACUUCUCAGUCCAGGUGGGCCUGUUCUUCCCUUGUUAUCUUCCAUUACCCUCUGUACCCACCUUGCUCUCCCAACAAACCAAUCCCCACUCUGGGCCCCCGAUUCACUUGCAGUGUCCUUCCUACCACAUUUCUAUGCUCAACUCUUGCCUGUCCUGCAAGUCUCAGGUUUAUUGACAGGUGUUCCAGAGGUCUUCCCGGAAGUACCCAGGCCCUCUGACUAAUGCUGGGGAUAAAAAUAAAACAUACAAUUUAAAAAUA